CAAUAGCGUAUAUUAAAGCUGUUGCGGUUAAAAAGCUCGUAGUUGGAUUUCUGUCAAGGACAACUGGUCCGCCCUCCGGGUGAGCACAUAGUUUGGUCUUGACAUCUUGCUGGAAGCUGUUGCUGCACUUGGCUGCGUGGCGCAGUGUUCAGCACUUUCACUUCGAGGAAAUUGGAGUGUUUCAAGCAGGCACAUGCCUUUGGACACAGUAGCAUGGAAUAAUUAGAUCGGGCUUUUGCUCCAAUUUGUCGGUUUCUGGAGCUGAGGUGAGUAUUAAUGGGGAUUGUUGGGGGCAUCCGAAUUUAGCCGUCAGAGGUGAAAUUCUUGGAUCUGCUAAAGACGGACAACUGCGAAAGCGUUUGCCCAGGAUGUUUUCACUGA
rnacentral:rRNA from 1 species